rnacentral:rRNA from 1 species
GUUCCCAUCCCGAACACGGAAGUUAAGUCCUCCAGCGCCGAUGGUACUCGGGACGCGAGUCCCCGGGAGAGUAGGACCCUGCCGAAA